rnacentral:rRNA from 1 species
UACGAAGGGGGCUAGCGUUGUUCGGAAUUACUGGGCGUAAAGCGCACGUAGGCGGACUCUUAAGUCAGGGGUGAAAUCCCGGGGCUCAACCUCGGAAUUGCCUUUGAUACUGUGAGUCUUGAGACCGGAAGAGGUGAGUGGAAUUCCUAGUGUAGAGGUGAAAUUCGUAGAUAUUAGGAAGAACACCGGUGGCGAAGGCGGCUCACUGGUCCGGUUCUGACGCUGAGGAGCGAAAGCGUGGGUAGCAAACAGG